UCCUGAGCAUGGCUGCCCAUUGUGGUUAAUCUCGCACACAGGCAGUAAUUGGAAUAUAACAGUGGGAGUGCUGAAUUGAAGCUGCCCUGCGACUACUCUGAGUCUUGGGUAAAAACAACCCUUCCAUGGAAUGCUGUGGGAUCAUGUGCUCUCUGAUAACCUCACACUAUAUAAUAUAAUGAGAAACUGCUGAAAAAACGGCAAGACGACUGAGACGUCAAGUAUGUCCUAUGAAAAGCCCAGGAAAGCAAAACAUAUGAGCUGUCAGGGAAACAUUUCAUGGAGGUCUUCCAUCUUCUGAGAACUUUGGUAAAUUUUGGGUGGAAAAGCUUUAAACUACAGAAAAUAACUAUGUUGAUAUUACUGUCCUCGUUGAGCUUAUUGACUGGAAAGGGUAACAGAUAUAAAAACAAAUAAGUUUUGAAUUGCUUAAAGAAAAUUGUUCUUUCACUGAUACUAAUUGCUCUAAUAAUUGUAUAACAGAGGGCAUGUGGCCUUCUAUGCAAAAGUGGCAUUUAGAAUUCAUGCAGUCUCAAAAAGAAUUCAAGUUAUAUACAGCUUCAUGUAUCUGUGGUAUAGUUUUAAAAAGGUACAUUCUACUACAAAACAAGACUCAAAAUAAAUGCAGGGAUACCAAUUGAA